AUUGAUAAGCAUUGCAAGAAAAUUUGUUGUUACAAAUCGAAAUUACAUAAGAAAGUUUUGUUAGUCACGUGUAUGAAAGCAAUUAGAUUCACCAGUGAGUCGAUAAAAAUAUAUACACAGAUAGCAAGACAAAAGGCUCUUUCUAUCAACGAAAAUCAAUAUUGUCUCGAAUGUCCCACGGAAUAUUGUCAAUCGAAACGAAUAACAGAUUUUCACUUAUCACGUUUGAACCAUGUUAUUAACAGAAUACGAUUAUUGCGAUAUUCAUUUUCAUUGGUUAUAGUAUAUGUAUCGAUGUAUGUAAAAUAAAAUAUAUCGCAGUAUAUUUAUAUCUUUAUUAUAUGUAGAUGAAUAACCGAAGCUGUUAAACCCAAUACCAGAUAAUAUACCGUCAUAAUUUUCCUUCGAUCGAUACCAUAAUUGAUAAGACCACCAUAAUAAUCUUAACGCUAUACGACACUAAUGAUGCUAUUAAUACUAUUACUACUGUUGAAACCAAUAAUAUUAUGAUAUAUGUUUGUAAUUUUAUGUUCAAUCGAUGUAAAGAUGCGAACGUGCUCGUAAAUUUUCUUCCUAUUACAUUACAUUUUUGGAUUUAAUUAAUUACACCGAGCAAUUAUUAUUAAUAUUCAUUAUAGGAUUAUACACGAUGCGCAACUUAUUACUAAAUUCAUUUUAAAUUUAGAAAAAUUCUAUUUCAUAAUUUAAAUUCUUAAAUGAGAAAAGCAACUGAACGUUGAAAUAAGUGUGAAAAGAAACAUUUUCACGCUUAAUCGGUAUUUGAGAAAGUUCGUAACUUCAUCAAGUUAACCCUUUUAUUAUAAGGUUCUCGUUAGAGACUUAAUGAAUGGUCAGAUUGUGCACACCGACGUUGAAGUAAAUUAGCCGCUCAUUCGCGGCUGAACAUCAAUUACACUUUUUCGAACAUUCCGUAAAACACGCGCGAGGAACCUUAUACGGGUCUUAACAUGAAGCCAGUCUGUUAUUCUCUAGAAAACUUCGUUAAUUCCUGAUUAUCGAGAGAGGUUCACGCGAGGUUCACGCGAGGUUCACGUGGGGUUCACGUAUUUGUAAGGGAACCUUGGGACUUUAGGAUAAACCUUACUAACUGUAAAUAUUUUUGAUAGAGAGCAAUAACUUUUCCACUGAAAGCAUCAAAUAUUUGUAUUUACUGUGCGAAAUAAAGAACGAAUAAAGGACAUUAAUGGUAUAACAGUUAAUUUAAAAUUGCUUAGAACAAAACUAAUACGUUUAGUAUAUAUCAAUAAUUACUCAAAAUUAUUUUUCGUAUUACACAAUC
rnacentral:misc_RNA from 1 species